UUCCCUUAGUAAUGGCGAACGAACCAGGGAUGAGCUCGGCUUGGAAAACUGGGCCUUGGCCUUGGAUUGUAGCCUCUAGACAUAGUGCCAACGGAGGCGCAGGUGCAAGCCUCUUGGAAAAGAGCAUCAAUGUGGGUGAGAAUCCUGUGUUUCACUUGCAGUCCACCGUGCACGGCACAUGUUCUCAGAGUCGCGUUCCUCGGAAUUGGAGCGUAAAGUGGGUGGUAAAUUUCAUCUAAAGCUAAAUAUAGGCUUGAGACCGAUAGCAAACAAGUACCAUGAGGGAAAGAUGAAAAGGACUUUGAAAAGAGAGUUAAAAGUGCUUGAAAUCGCUGAAAGGGAAGCGAAUGGAACCAGUCUUCUGGCUGAGAUUGCUGCAUGCUACUGUGAUGCCUGGCUGCUUCAACGCAAGUGUUGUAGUUAGAGUUGAUCAGCUGCGUGUGGUGUUUCUCAGCUUGUUAGUCAACCUCUGUUUGCGCUUGGGGAUAGCCUCAGGUACACGUCGCUUCUCUGCGGAGUUGCUCCUGUGCUUGUAGGGACUCAGGUGCAUACUUUUGGUGACAAAAUGGUUCUCUUCGACCCGUCUUGAAACACGGACCAAGGAGUCUAGCACAUGUGCAAGUUCACAGGUGGCAAGCCUGCUUGCGCAAUGAAGGUGACUGCUGGGAUAUUUGCACCAGCAACCGACCAAUCAAUUGAG
rnacentral:rRNA from 1 species